UACGAAGGGGGCUAGCGUUGUUCGGAAUCACUGGGCGUAAAGCGCACGUAGGCGGAUCUUUAAGUCAGGGGUGAAAUCCCGAGGCUCAACCUCGGAACUGCCUUUGAUACUGGGGAUCUCGAGUCCGGGAGAGGUGAGUGGAACUGCGAGUGUAGAGGUGAAAUUCGUAGAUAUUCGGAAGAACACCAGUGGCGAAGGCGACUUACUGGACGAUUGUUGACGCUGAGGUGCGAAAGCGUGGGGAGCAACAGGG
rnacentral:rRNA from 1 species